UACGUAGGGUGCAAGCGUUGUCCGGAAUUACUGGGCGUAAAGGGCGCGUAGGCGGUUCUGUAAGUCCCGCGUGAAAUCCCCCGGCUCAACUGGGGAACUGCGCGGGAAACUGCGGGGCUUGAGUUCGGGAGAGGGAAGCGGAAUUCCGGGUGUAGCGGUGAAAUGCGUAGAUAUCCGGAGGAACACCGGUGGCGAAGGCGGCUUCCUGGACCGACACUGACGCUGAGGCGCGAAAGCUAGGGGAGCAAACGGG
rnacentral:rRNA from 1 species